AAUUACCCUUGACAAUUCACUGAAAUUCGCCCUUUAACUACACUUUAACGUAUGAACAGGCCACAAUGGCGGCCAUUACACAAUCCCCUCCAACCUUCAUGCACCAUACUAAACAGGCAGUUUAUAGUUAAAGACCCACUGUACAAAUAAGUUCUUCAUUUUUCUUGCUCUUAUGCCAUUCCACCUCCAUACUCCCUCAUUUAUAACCCAUCAAUAUCUGCCCACUCUGCUAAAGAUAAAAUUCAAAAUAUUUAACAUGGCCUAGCCUAGAAUGUCUUAUAUGAUUUGACACCUGGCAGUCUCAUUUCCCAUCACGUCUCACUUUCUACAUUACAGCCCUCCAGGCCUUUAAUUUCCCAAAGCAUGUUCUUUCUUUCAGAGCAUUUGCAAAAUGUACUCCCUCAAUCUACUCUCUCUUCCCAUUUCCCCGUUUUCUCCUAGUGAAGGUUUACUCAUCCUUUGGGUCUUUA